UAGGGAAUCUUCGGCAAUGGACGAAAGUCUGACCGAGCAACGCCGCGUGAGUGAAGAAGGUUUUCGGAUCGUAAAACUCUGUUGUUAGAGAAGAACAAGGACGUUAGUAACUGAACGUCCCCUGACGGUAUCUAACCAGAAAGCCACGGCUAACUACGUGCCAGCAGCCGCGGUAAUACGUAGGUGGCAAGCGUUGUCCGGAUUUAUUGGGCGUAAAGCGAGCGCAGGCGGUUUCUUAAGUAUGAUGUGAAAGCCCCCGGCUCAACCGGGGAGGGUCAUUGGAAACUGGGAGACGUGAGUGCAGAAGAGGAGAGUGGAAUUCCAUGUGUAGCAGUGAAAUGCGUAGGUAUAUGGAGGAACACCAGUGGCGAAGGCGGCUCUCUGGUCUGAAACUGACGCUGAGGCUCGAAAGCGUGGGGAGCAAACAGG
rnacentral:rRNA from 1 species